GACGAACGCUGGCGGCGUGCUUAACACAUGCAAGUCGAACGAAGAGCGACGGAAGCUUGCUUCUAUCAAUCUUAGUGGCGAACGGGUGAGUAACGCGUAAUCAACCUGCCCUUCAGAGGGGGACAACAGUUGGAAACGACUGCUAAUACCGCAUACGAUCUAAUCUCGGCAUCGAGGAGGGAUGAAAGGUGGCCUCUACAUGUAAGCUAUCACUGAAGGAGGGGAUUGCGUCUGAUUAGCUAGUUGGAGGGGUAACGGCCCACCAAGGCGAGGAUCAGUAGCCGGUCUGCGAGGAUGAACGGCCACAUUGGGACUGGGACACGGCCCAGACUCCUACGGGAGGCAGCCGUGGGGAAUCUUCCGCAAUGGACGAAAGUCUGACGGAGCAACGCCGCGUGAGUGAUGACGGCCUUCGGGUUGUAAAGCUCUGUUAAUCGGGACGAAAGGCCUUCUUGCGAAUAGUGAGAAGGAUUGACGGUACCGGAAUAGAAAGCCACGGCUAACUACGUG
rnacentral:rRNA from 1 species